UACGUAGGGUGCAAGCGUUAUCCGGAUUUAUUGGGCGUAAAGCGUUCUGUAGGCGGUUUUGUAAGUAUAUGGUUAAAGGCUUCCGCUCAACGGAAGACAUGCUGUGUAAACUGCAAGACUAGAUGGUUAUCGGGAGUAUCGGAAUUCUUGGUGGAGGGGUGAAAUCCGUUGAUAUCAAGAGGAACACCAAAGGCGAAGGCAGAUACUUAGGUAAUUCAUGACGCUGAUAGACGACAGCUAGGGGAGCGAAAGGG
rnacentral:rRNA from 1 species